rnacentral:tmRNA from 1 species
CCUCUUUAAUAUCGCCGCCCGACGCCCUAUAUUCAAAGCGUCGGGAAACCGACUAUGGCGCUAAAUGGCCUUGUGAAAUAAGCGCAGCGGACCCGGGGGCAGUACCCGGCGCCUCCACCAUAUCUCUUUCGUGACCCGGCUUCGAUUUCGGGUCCAUUUAUGGGGGCGAAACAGGAUCGACGCGCGUGGUAAAGACUUGGUUUGUGCCCGGCAUGG